CUUGCUUUCUUUGCUGGCGACCGGCGCACGGGUGAGUAACACGUAUCCAACCUGCCCUUUACUCGGGGAUAGCCUUUCGAAAGAAAGAUUAAUACCCGAUAGCAUAAUGAUUCCGCAUGGUUUCAUUAUUAAAGGAUUUCGGUAAAGGAUGGGGAUGCGUUCCAUUAGGUUGUUGGUGAGGUAACGGCCCACCAAGCCUUCGAUGGAUAGGGGUUCUGAGAGGAAGGUCCCCCACAUUGGAACUGAGACACGGUCCAAACUCCUACGGGAGGGCAGCAUG
rnacentral:rRNA from 1 species